rnacentral:rRNA from 1 species
UGGGGAAUAUUGCACAAUGGGCGCAAGCCUGAUGCAGCCAUGCCGCGUGUAUGAAGAAGGCCUUCGGGUUGUAAAGUACUUUCAGCGGGGAGGAAGGGAGUAAAGUUAAUACCUUUGCUCAUUGACGUUACCCGCAGAAGAAGCACCGGCCAACUCCGUGCCAGCAGCCGCGGUAAUACGGAGGGUGCAAGCGUUAAUCGGAAUUACUGGGCGUAAAGCGCACGCAGGCGGUUUGUUAAGUCAGAUGUGAAAUCCCCGGGCUCAACCUGGGAACUGCAUCUGAUACUGGCAAGCUUGAGUCUCGUAGAGGGGGGUAGAAUUCCAGGUGUAGCGGUGAAAUGCGUAGAGAUCUGGAGGAAUACCGGUGGCGAAGGCGGCCCCCUGGACGAAGACUGACGCUCAGGUGCGAAAGCGUGGGGAGCAAACAGG